rnacentral:rRNA from 1 species
GUGCAGCAGUCGCGAAUCUUCGGCAAUGGGGGAAACCCUGACCGAGCGACGCCGCGUGUGGGAUGAAGGCCCUUGGGUUGUAAACCACUGUCAGAGGGGAUGAAAUGCCGGAAAGUUAUCUCUCCGGUUUGACAUAGCCUCAGAGGAAGCACGGGCUAAGUUCGUGCCAGCAGCCGCGGUAAGACGAACUGUGCAAACGUUAUUCGGAAUCACUGGGCUUGAAGAGUGCGUAGGCGGUUUCGCAAGUAGGGUGUGAAAGCCCCCGGCUCAACCGGGGAAUUGCGUCCUAAACUGCGAGGCUGGAGUGAGGUAGGGGUGUGUGGAACUUCCAGUGGAGCGGUGAAAUGUGUUGAUAUUGGAAGGAACGCCGGUGGCGAAAGCGACACACUGGACCUUGUCUGACGCUGAGGCACGAAAGCCAGGGGAGCAAACGGGAUUAGAUACCCCUGUAGU